CGAUUCGGGUCGUGCUUUCUUUAUGUGGCUGCCCAGUUUCAUUCGACACGCCAGAAAAAAGGAAUUCCUUGAUAUCGGACGGUUUAAAAGGAUCACGCAUGAGAAAGACUAUAUCCCUUUAAAAAAGUUUUGGAAAUGCAAAACAUGCUUGAUACCAAAAGUAUAAUGAUAAUGAUAUAUUAUUCGGACGCCUUCUGGAAUAUAGAGAAGAAGAGAAUAACGUUAGGAUAGACUGGUGGAGUACUUCCGACAACGCAAGGAAUUCCAAAAAAGACAUCGAACAUAACCGUCCAAAGGAUCCGCCAUCUUUCAACUUAUCGGCGCGUACUAUACGGAUGCAAUUCGUAGGAAAAAUAGCACUGUCCCCGAAGAAGCGUCCUUAUCUUCGUAUACGUCCCAAUGGCAAUUCGUCGGAAAAAUAUUUCCCGUAAUAGAUAUAGCUCAGGAAGUGUUUGCCAGGAACUGACGAGAUCCAGAGAAUCCUGAUUGGGAGUCGAUU